GACAGAGGGGGCAAGCGUUAAUCGGAAUUACUGGGCGUAAAGGGUGCGUAGGCGGUUCGUUAAGUCUGUUGUGAAAUCCCCGGGCUCAACCUGGGAAUGGCAAUGGAUACUGGCGGGCUAGAGUGUGUCAGAGGAUGGUGGAAUUCCCGGUGUAGCGGUGAAAUGCGUAGAGAUCGGGAGGAACACCCGUGGCUAAGGCGGCUCUCUAGUACGGUACUGACGCUGAGACGCGAAAACGUGGGGAGCGAACAGG
rnacentral:rRNA from 1 species